rnacentral:sRNA from 1 species
GCUGGGCUUUGUGGUGGGUGCCUAUAACCUCAGCUAUUCAGGAGGCUGAAGCAGGAGGAUUGCUUGAUCUCAGGAGUUCAAGGCCAGUCUUAGCAAAAUAGUGAGACUUUGUCUUAA